rnacentral:piRNA from 1 species
UGAGCUCACUAAUUCUGAGCAAAUAAAAGG